GGUCGGGGUGGGGACUGGGAUGGCGGGGAGGAGCAGAGGGGCAGGAAGGUGUGUUUUCUGUCUCUCUGGCCCCAGAAACGCACGUGUACACGUGCUGGGCUGGUAGGCAGAGCUUGUCCGGACCCCUGCCUCCCUCAAGCCGGGCUUCACGGAGAAGAGAUCUGUACCAGACUUCUCUACAGUGCCUCACCUUGCAAUUCGGAGUGUGCUCCUCUUCCCUGCUGGACCUCAGUUUCUCUACCUGUGUUAUGGAGCCCCUGUGUGAUACCGAAUGCGGCACUCUGCAUACUCUGACCCCAGCAGGACUGAAGGAUCACCUCCAUCCCCGGGAGCUGCUGUUAUCAAUAGUGUAGUCCUUGCCCAGAGCCCCAGGACCCCAGCUGGAGCGAUGGAGGCCUCAUGGAACCACAUCUGCUUCCAGGCAAAUGCAAGAUUCAAGCCCAAGCAGCCUGGGCAGACCUAGCCCUGUGAUCCCAGCUUCCCGUGAUUUCACAUCAUUCCUAUAGCAUUUUGACCAUCUCUGCCCUCACCUCCACCCCUGCAGAACUCUGUAUCUUCAACAGACCCAUAGUACCUUGAAGGAGCUGGGCUGUGUGGGCCAGGAGAGUGGGCAAAGCCCGCUGUGCACCAGGCACAUUUCAAAUUGGAGAAGAGGUCUGUGGCGGUUGCACGGCUGCCACCAACAGAUUCUUUUGCAAGCAGGAAAAUGGCUGACCCGCUGUGAGCAGCGGCUGCUCCCUGACUCUAUCCACCCAAACCUUGCAGCUCACCCCCAGGCAUUGGACCCAGAGUACACCAGGAUGACUACUGCUCAGCUCCCCCUCCCCCACCAGGGUCUUCCUGAGAGUCUGUGUGAUAUGGCUGCUCUGAUAGGACAAAUUCCUAGGUAUCCAUGUGGAUGAGGAUCAGCAACCUGCAGAAUACACACGAGCGUGCCUGCCUGCCUUCUUCCCUUCCUUCCUCCACACCCCUCCUCCUUCCC